rnacentral:rRNA from 1 species
GAUGAACGCUGGCGGCGUGCCUAACACAUGCAAGUCGAACGGAAAGACGAUGAGCUUGUGCCGUUCACGUUAGCGGAGGGCGGGUGUGUAACGCGUGGAUAACGUACUUAUCUGUCGGGGAUAAUUACGGAAAACCGGAGAUAAUACCAGAGAAUAUAUUGCACCGCGGGGGGCAAUGGAGAGUGACGGCGUUGGGGUCUGUAAUAGAUGGAUACGCGCUGGAUUGGCUAGUUGGGAAGGUAACAGCUUACCAAGGGUACGAUGCGUAGCCGACCGGAGGGGGUGAUCGGCCACACUGGAGCUGAGCCACGGUCCAGACUACUACGGGAGGCAGCAGUAGGGAAUCUUACGCAAUGGGCGAAAGCCUGACGCAGCAACCCCGCGUGAGUGAUGAAGGCCUUCGGUUCGUAAAGCCCUGUUAUUGGGGAAGAACAGAUGUCGACUUAACCAAAGCCGUCGUGACGGUACCUAAUCAGAAAGCACCGGCUAACUACGUG